AUACGUAGGGGGCGAGCGUUGUCCGGAAUUAUUGGGCGUAAAGGGUUCGCAGGCGGUCUUUUAAGUCAGAUGUUAAAUGCAUAGGCUCAACCUAUGAGUGCAUUUGAAACUGGGAGACUUGAGUAAAGGAGAGGAAAGUGGAAUUCCUAGUGUAGCGGUGAAAUGCGUAGAUAUUAGGAGGAAUACCAGUGGCGAAGGCGACUUUCUGGACUUUUACUGACGCUGAGGAACGAAAGCAUGGGGAGCAAACAGGAUUAGAUACCCUGGUAGUCCAUGCCGUAAACGAUGAGUGCUAGGUGUCGGGCGUCAAAACUCGGUGCCGAAGCUAACGCAUUAAGCACUCCGCCUGGGGAGUACGUGCGCAAGCAUGAA
rnacentral:rRNA from 1 species